CACCUCAGCCUCCCAAAGUGCUAGGAUUACAAGCAUAAGCCAGCAUGCCCAGCCAAAGCCUGUUUCUUUGUUCUAACUCUGGACAAGUCUGAAGGUCGUUUCAGCUUCAGAGUUCCUAGCUGAUGUUUUCAUUGAGAAUGAAUUACAGCUAACCUCUCACUUCUCAAAACUUCUUCUCUAAAUUUUAAUUUCAAAGGACUCCUACUAUAGUUUGCCUUUGUGUCUCACCCAAAUCUCAUCUUAAAUUGUAAUCUCCAGAUGUCAAAGGAGGAACUGGUAGGAGGUGAUUGGAUCGCAGGGGCAGUUUUACCCCUGUUGUUCACCUGAUCAUGAAAAUGAAGGAGUUCUUAUGUGAGCUGAUGGUUUAAAAUGGCAGUUUCCCGUGUUCUCUCUCCUGCUGCCAUAUGAAGGCUUCUGCUUUCCCUUCACCUUUUGACAUGCUUUCCUGAGGCCUCCCAGCCAUGCUGAACUAAAUUACCGCAGCCACCCCACGUUCAGCAACCCUGACUGGGAGGAAGCUAUCAACAUCAAGGCAAGGUCUCUACCAGCAAAAAGACUGCAACUCACUGAAGGCUCAGGUGAUCACUAACAUUUUUUAUUAAUAGAGUAUUUUUAAAUUAAGGAAUGUACAUUACAGUUUAGGACAUCAUGCUGUUGCACACUUAAAGAGUACAAGAU
rnacentral:lncRNA from 1 species